UUGGAGGGCAAGUCUGGUGCCAGCAGCCGCGGUAAUUCCAGCUCCAAUAGCGUAUAUUAAAGUUGUUGCAGUUAAAAAGCUCGUAGUUGAAUUUCGGGAUUUGUCGGUUGGUCGGGCUUCACUGUCCGCACUGACCUGAUGGAUUCCUACCUUCUGAACAACCAGCAUGCUAUUAAGUUAGUGCGUUGGGGAAGCAGAGCUAUUACCUUGAAAAAAUUAGAGUGCUUAAAGCAAGCUUGUGCUUGAAUAGAUUAGCAUGGAAUAAUAAAAUAGGACGGCAUGGUUCUAUUUUGUUGGUUUCUAGGAUCACCGUAAUGAUUAAUAGGGAUAGUUGGGGGCAUUAGUAUUCAAUUGUCAGAGGUGAAAUUCUUGGAUUUAUUGAAGACUAACUUCUGCGAAAGCAUUUGCCAAGGAUGUUUUCAUUAAUCAAGAACGAAAGUUAGGGGAUCGAAGACGAUCAGAUACCGUCGUAGUCUUAACCAUAAACUAUGCCGACUAGGGAUCGGACGAUGUUAAUUUUUUAAUGACUCGUUCGGCGCCUUACGGGAAAC
rnacentral:rRNA from 2 species